ensembl:lincRNA
GAAGUUCACCUGAUCCGUUUCUCCCUCAUCUUGUUUCCCUUGCCACCAGGCGCUGAUAUUUGCCAGGCAGCUGCCCAGGGUUGUAGUGCAGUCUACAGCCAUGUAGCAUCAUCUCCAAAUGCAACGUCCCAAUGCACAGCCCUCCUUGAUUUUGAAGCUUGAAUCCCAGGAGUCAGCUUGGUGGGACAAGCCACUUGAGAAUGGAUGACAACAGUGAAAGGAAACAGCUGCUCUGCAGUGCACCAGCGGCCAUCCAGAGAGGGAGGUGGGCAUUCUUUCUUAGAAUGCCUUCAGAACAGGGAUUGUCAAGGUUGUAGCAUCGGAAACACCUGGAGAAUUCUAACUGCAGGAAUCUCGGCUCUACCUGACCCUGAAAAUUUUCAUCUGCGGACGGGGACGAGGAGGAUCAGGACAGGUGUGUUUUUGAAAGGUCCCCCAGUGAUUCUAAUAUGCAGCCCAGGCUGGGAACUGCUGCUAGAAAGACGGCCUUUAUGAGUCGUGGUGGCUGCCGAAAGUCAUCUCGGUUUUAAAAGGACUUUGUGGUUCUGAAAAGAUCUGUCAUUUUGUUCCAGUGCAGGAUGUACAUAGCCAAGUGCAUCUAAGGUCAUCUGGCAAAGGGAUCAGGGAGUUGGAUCUUGAACUUGAGCUACAAAGAUCCUAAAAUUCCACCAUCACACAUCCAGCACUUCCUUUCUGAACUGCCACUGUUGAAGGAAAGCAUGGGGUACGUAUUUAUGGUGGCAAAGCCUGGGCAAUGGAAAGACCUGCUUCUCAAAACCAUUCCACAGGAACUUGCCUACAUAGAGGUGAUCACAGCACUGGACACCUUUAACUUGAAAGAGAAACAUUAUUUAGGAAAAGCACAUGCCAACAAGUGGUCAGUCCUAUCAUUUUCCCACUGAUAAUCAGGAGAUAAUCAUGGGGUAUUUAAGAUUAGCUGCUUCUGUUAGAUUCCAACACACUUGCAAAUUGAUGUUUCUAUAUGAUUCCGGUCACCCAAUAAGCUGAAAAUGUACUUUAUAAAUAUGAAUGAGAAAUAAUUAUCUACUAAAAGCAUUUAGUUUCAAGUAAUAGCAUAGGCUUAGCUAUUUGAAUCAAAUUUCUUAAAGAAGCCAUUAUCAGAAGAAAAUAUUCAGGUAAAAUCCAGAGUAUAGCUAAAUUUACACCUUGACUUCAUGUCUUUAUAGGAAAGGAAGUAAAACUUUAACCCUUCACUCUGAGCUCCCUGUCUCAUACCAGAAAUGAAGAAGAAAAUAAAUAAAAGGUUCAGAUUUUUCUGGAUCUCCCUUUACAGCUGGCACGGCUGGAAAGGGCCUUCCCUUCAAACAGUUCAAGUUAGAAAUUAUCUCCAGAUGAAUUGCACUGUUUCCUUUGAUCACUUCUCUCACAAGACUGGAAACUGGUUGAAGUAAACUCCUGGUACAAGACCUGGAGAUCUAAAUAAUGAAGUUUUAUCUCUUAUCUAAGAAGAAUUUAUAGUGCACACCAAUAGCCUGGAGACAAAUGCUCAAGCCUCCGGAUUCCACAGAAGCAGUAAUUAGGCAGCAUUUUAUUGUGAUGCAGUGAAUCUGCAAAAGAUGGAGCUGGACUACUCUCCAGGGCUUAGAAACAAAAUUGGCUUCCUGGAGAGCCAACAGAAGAAACCUAAAAUACUUAAAGAGCUUAGGACCCCCAAGGGAGAAUUUCCAGCUAUUGAAGUGGAGAAGAUUAAGCAUUUGCUAGAUCCGGAAAGGAAAUUCUUAAUGACAAACUCAGCAAAGUGCACUGAUUUUGGUUAGGGCAUUAAAAAGUAUAUUUUAAUAAUAAAGAUCAUACCUAUCAGAUACAGAGUAAUCAAAUUGGAGACUUGGUAUUUUCUGCUUAAUGACAUAAGAAAUAGGAUCUAAGAAUAUACUCUCCAGGUGAGGAGUGCCUCCCCCUCAUGAGUUCUUUGCCUCAGAGGGCACGUGCUCAGGCCCAGCACCCUGACUCCACCUUGCAGCCCUUUUGCUCUGGCCUCUAACUGGCAGCUGCUGCCUUCUCCCCCUCCUCCCACCUUAACGUGGGCCUCGGCCACCGUGUGCCUUGGUUUCCGUGGUUGUGUAAUGGAGACACCCGCACCAUCUCACUGGGGCAAAGCCCUUGGAGAACUGCCCAGCGGGCAGCUGGCACUCAACACAGCUGAUCCCCGUUACUUGUGGGAGUUCCAGUCUAUAAAAUCACCACCCACUGUGAAUUAGCCAAUACCGGCCAGUGCCCUGGGGACACAGGGGUAGGUUCCCACGAGCCUCUGCUUACCGUCUUCAUCACCGAUCAUUAUGUACCCUUGUCUUACGUGUGCUUCAGAUUAAAGGUAACUUAUUGAGUAUAUAUUCCUGAUUCGUGAACAGUGACCUCACAGCCGGGGGCUCCAUAAGGCAUGCCUACACGGAGCUUAGCUAACCCCCACACUUUGGAAGGCACAUCGCGGCCUUCCCGCGCUCAGGAGCACCGGGUGGCCCUUCAGCACGGCGCUCAGAGGCCACUUUAAACAGCAAAAUCAUUUUGCAAAAAUGCAAAACACAUGGCACCAGAUUGCAAAAAAAAAAAAGGGUAAUUCCUACUAGAAGAGUUGAAACAACAAGCAGAGUGUCACCGCGACCGACUUCAGCUGGGAACGUGUGCAUUGGGCGACACAUCUUUUGCUGCUCUGUGCAUGUCCCAAAUGACUGCGAAAGCACCACGAGUUUUGACUCUGGGGCACAAAUAAGUUUUCACGAGUAGGAGAAUUCACAAAUACGGAAUCCACAAAGAAUGAAGGUGAACUAUGCAUCUUCAUGGUUCUUAUCAUUGCAUUUUGCAUUUCCCUCAGUACCUGUGAAAAUAGUGUAUUUUUUAAUAAAAAACAAGUCACAUGGUCUAACAGGAUUGUUUUUAGAUUCCUGGGUUUAUUUAUGUGGAAAGUCUCAGCGUGUUAUUUAUUUCUGCACUUAAGUUAUCAUAUUUCAUUAUGUAAAGUCCUGCAGUGGGGUACAUACUCCACAUGAAGAGAGAGAGCAUACUCCACAAAACACAAAGUAAAAAGCCAAAGCACUUCACCACGAGGUAGACGGUGAGUGGCUCAGAUCAUAAGAGCUACAACAAUGGAGAUGGGAAAAGAAUGGAGGGGAGGGAAGCAGAUGUGGCUCAACUGACAGAGCGUCCGCCUACUAUAUAGGAGGUCCAGGGUUCAAACCCAGGGCCUCCUGACCUGUGUGGUGCACUGGCCCGUGCACAGUGCUGCCACGCACAAGGAGUGCCAUGCCAGGCAGGAGCGUCCCCAGCAUAGGGGAGCCCCACAAGCAAGGAGUGCCCUGAAAGGAGAACUGCCCCGCACGGAAAGUGCAGCCUGCCCAGCAGUGGCACUGCACACACGGAGAGCUGACGCAACAAGAUGAUGCAACAAAAAGAGACAUAUUUCCAGAGCCACCGAGAAUGCAAGCAGACACAGAAGAACACACAAUGAAUGGACACAAGAGAGCAGACAACGGAGGAGAGGGGGAAGGGAGAUAAAUAAAAUAAAUAUUAAAAAAAAAAAAAGAAUGGAGGGGAUCAAGUCUUCACUGUGUUCAUGAAGUGUAUGGAGAACAGCACGUGGCUGAAAUACAGGUGGGGAGAGUGAAGGUACUUCCUGCCAUGAAAUAUGUGUAGGGAGAGUGAAGGCAUUUCCCUGCAGGAGGACAGGCAGGUAGGGAAGGCAAGUAAACAGAGCCAUUCUCUCAGAGCCAGUGAUUUGUGUUUGAAAUGAGGUGAGAAGUUGGCAAAGCUCCUCUGGGCAGAGGCCACAGGGCUUCAAAGGGAGGGGCUAGAGAGUCUGGCUUUUCCUGAGUCCCUUAAGGACUCAGGGAAGUGACAAAAUAAAACGACUUUCAGGAGAAAAGCCCAGAUACAUGGAGGAGAGGUACAUAUGGGAGGUGCGUAUGCAAAGCCCUCCCUUCGGCAGGCCUUGGUGAUCGGAGCACGCCAGGCUGGCUUCGGCAGUGCCGGGUGAGCCUCUAAAGUCUCCAAGGACUGUUGCUUCCUCUCCCCAUUCUUAGGCCUCCAGGAAACCAUCCAAGUGUCCUUCUGGACAGCCUGGUGCUAAUUCCAUUUUGCUCCCUCUCUUGGUGUGUGUGUGUGUGUGUGUGCAUGCCCCGUAGAUCCCAAACAGUAAGAUAAAAUCAUAUUCACACCUUGCUCUCUCUCAAAAUCACAUAGUACUUCCCAAUUGUGCUUUUUUAUUAGU